UUAAACAGUUACCACCGCAGGGUGACUCUCUGCUCUUUUCCCUGAGCAGACAGCUGCUCCAGAAAACACAUGCUCAGGCUGCUCAGGCUGAAAGGAAGAACCGCAGAGAUUUUAUUUAUAGAUGCAAUAGGCAGGUGUUCCGCAUUGAAUGUCUGCCCGGUUCCCUACAGAAAUGUAGGCAAGCACCAAGCCUGCUCAGCAUAAGAAAAAAGCAAGUAGAGCCAAAGCCUCAGUCUAUAGGAUGGAUUUCAGGAUUCACUCCAAUAGGAAGAGGGGGCACAGACCUGGAACUUACAGAACUGAAGAGCCUGUGGAUGGACUUCAUUUCCCAGGAUGUGUGUGUAUGUGUGUUGGGACAUGGCCAGGAUUGUGAGAUCUCCCACACCUUACAGAACAAGCUGUGGGAUGUCUGAUACCUACAGAUGGUCUGAGAGCAGCUUCACACCCUGUACAGCAGCACUGGAUCCUGAUGCUGUACUGAGGGACAAGCAUUCCACUGUCUCUGAGUGGAAUAUCACUGACUGAAUUCCGAACAUAAUUUACAGCAGCAUCAGAGAUAUUCAUGGAACAGUUUGAUCCAGCAGACACCAAUUUCAUCAGGCAUCUGACCAACUUGUGAGAUCUUGAUGCAGUCAUGGAGAAGUUUCUUAACUCCUCUGUGCCCCAUCUGGACUGACAUCAGCUGCAGACCUCACCAAACCUGUGGAUGUGGUUCUUCCACAUCAACUCAGUCAUUAGGGAAGGCAGCUCCACCAACCAGCAGUUUAAUCUACAAAGGCUGCAGCCUCAGAUGAAAGAUUCACUGUGCACAACCGGAUCAUUACGCCGUGUGGAUAUUAUUGCCACAGCCAAAGCCUCAUCCAGUCUGCAGUAGCCCCAGGAAAUGCUGAAAAAAUAAAGCAAGGUGAUCUUCUUACUAAAAAAAAUAAAAUAAAAGGCCCCACACUUUCCCCUUGUAGCUUA